rnacentral:rRNA from 1 species
AGAUACCCGCGUAGUCCCAGCCGUAAACAAUGUGCGUUAGGUGUAUCGGUAACCACGCGUUACUGAUGCGCCGAAGAGAAAUCGUGAAACGCACCACCUGGGAAGUACGGUCGCAAGGCUGAAACUUAAAGGAAUUGGCGGGGAGCACCACAACAGGUGGAGCCUGCGGUUUAAUUGGAUUCAACGCCGGACAUCUCACCGGAUAAGACAGCUGAAUGAUUGUCAAUCUGAAGGUUUUACAUGACUAGCUG